GACGAACGCUGGCGGCGUGCUUAACACAUGCAAGUCGUACGGUAAGGCCCUUUCGGGGGUACACGAGUGGCGAACGGGUGAGUAACACGUGAGUAACCUGCCCACAACUUUGGGAUAACGCUAGGAAACUGGUGCUAAUACUGGAUAUGUGCUCCUGCUGCAUGGGGGGGGUUGGAAAGCUCCGGCGGUUGUGGAUGGACUCGCGGCCUAUCAGCUUGUUGGUGGGGUAGGGGCCUACCAAGGCGGCGACGGGUAGCCGGCCUGAGAGGGUGACCGGCCACAUUGGGCCUGCGAUACGGCCCAGCACCCUACGGGAGGCAGCGGUGGGGAAUAUUGCACAAUGGGCGCAAGCCUGAUGCAGCAACGCCGCGUGCGGGAUGCCGGCCUUCGGGUUGUAAACCGCUUUCGCCUGUGACGAAGUGUGAGUGACGGUAAUGGGUAAAGAAGCACCGGCUAACUACGUG
rnacentral:rRNA from 1 species